AUUGAAAGGGAAGCGGAAGGGCAGAGAAAGGGAAGGGGAAGAGAAUAAAAAGGAAGGAGAAGAGAAGAGCUGCGCUGUCACUGCUACCGCCACCUCAAGAGGCCUUCCCAGGCGCUGGCCCAAGGAGGUCCCACAAAAACCACGACGUCAGGAAGAGAAUGCCUGGUAAUCCAACACACAAAGUGCUUUACCAAGACAGAGCCCAUAAGGCCGAGAGAAACUGUGAGGAACGUGGUGGGAAAAGGCGGGCAGGAAAGCACAAGAAGGGACCUCAAGGAUCAUGAAGCUCCAACCUCCAGACCCCGGCAGGGCCACCAACCUCCACAUUUCAUACCAGCCCAGGCUGCCCAGGGCCCCAUCCAGCCUGGCCUUGAACACCUCCAGGGAUGGACGGGGCAUCCACAGCCUCUCUGGGCAGCUGUUCCAACACCUCACCAUUCUCCUGCGUUGUACCAUUGCACCAGUGAAAUGAGUCCCUUGGUCACUCUUGAUGACUUGAGGUGUCCCGUAGGCAGCCAUCAACUUGGUGAUGAGCUACAGCCAGCUCUGUUGGCUGCUGGGUGUGAAGCGGGAGGACCCGAAGCCCGGUCCCUUGCACGCCGAUGUCAUAGGAACGAGAGCUUUCUUUCGGUCUUCCCUCUGGAAAGAGAUCUAAGAGUUCUCCUGUGAUCUCCAUCACGAACUGCUCGAGAUCGUCCUCUUCAGAGACGAGUGCUUCCCCCGCCUCUGCGCAGCUCAGCUGCUGUGUCUCAGCUGCGUCUUGUGAGGAAUAGGAUGGUGCACUUGAGACCUCCGACUGUGCCACGGAGUCCGCCUGGCUUCCUGGAAGCAGUUCCAGGCUUGGGAGGACAAGGAAGAGAACAAUCGGUACGUGACAUCUCUAACUGGAGAAGCGCUUUCAGCAAGAAGUCGUCCUCUGCGAAAACCUGUUUACUGACUGAGCUACUUUUCCCCACGACUUACUCAGCAGAGAUUUUGAGUAAGCAAUUGAAAUCAUUUCAGAGGACCUGUUCCUUUGUUGGAUUAUGCCACGACACAUCUCAAACACCCCCUUCUCCCCCUGAUGUGAAAGAACUUAUGUCUAAUGGAAAAAGGGCACUGAUGAUGAACGAGUUGUGGUCAUCACCUGCUUGGAGGUGUUUCGACUGCAGGAAUGGUCACCAGGCUGUCCCCGGGCAGGGCUGGAACGAUGGCCUAGGAAGAAACAAGACAUUGUGUAUGAAGCACGGGACAAAGAUUCCUAGGUAACUUCUUUUCCCAGAGAAGCUGCGGAUGCCCCGUCCCUGGAGGCAUCCAAGGCCAGGCUGGAUGGGUUUCCCGGCACUUGGAUCUCGUGGCUGGCAACCCUGCUCACAGCAGGACAGGUGGAACACGAGAUGAUCUCUGAGGACUCCUCCUCCCUUCCCUCAGCCUGAGCUGAGCCUGAACCCAAAUACGGAACCACGCUGCUCCCGAAGGAAGCAUUCUCUUGAAGGUUACAAGCGACCUUGGGUGUUUUUCACAGCGCAGCAUCAAUGGACAAAAUCCUUCCCACCACAGAGCCAUCUCCGAAUCCUAGAAUCGCAGACUAUUACAGAGUCAUCACUGCUCUACAUCUGAUCAAAACAGGAAGUUUGCACAAGUAUCCUGUGAGACAUCUGCUGCCUUCAAAGGAAACAGGAGACCUGCAGAACAU
rnacentral:lncRNA from 1 species